AUGCCAAGGCACGCCUGUCCCUCUCCUCCAGCCUUCUCUCGCGCCCGGCAAGCCAGGACUGACCCUCUCCUCCAGCCUCCUCUCGCGCCCGAGUGGAUCUCCCGAGACAGCCCGUCCGCAUCCGGCCGCCGCUGGCAAGCUGAUACGACCGUGCGUAAUUUAUCUAUGAUGGUUGCUACUGAUAAAAGUAAGUCUAUACAUAUGGCUGAAUAUUCUACUAAUGUUGUACAAGACGAAGCUAUGAUUGUGGUUGACAAGUUUAAGCAUGCGAAGGAGACGCAAGAAUUGAUGAUGCAUGUACGAGAAGAAAAAUAUGUUCAGGUUGAGAGGCCCAUUAUUAUUUGGCUCGACGUGCCUGAAAUAGGAGGAAACCAAGGAAAUAGAUAUUCUGAUUAUUUUGGCAAGUCACGUUUCUUAGGAGGAAGCAAGGAGUCCAUGUCAGAUUUUGAAUGUUUUCUUGCCAUGACUACUAGUUGCUGCCUGAGGAGAUACAUUGCAUAUUUUAUAUUCAUCUUCUUACCAACUAAGAGACGUAUAUGGACAAGAUGCUUGAUACGUGAUUACUUAUCCUUGCAAGGCUGCGGAUGGGGCCCACCAAGGCAAGUUAACCGAUGGUGA
rnacentral:rRNA from 1 species